rnacentral:lncRNA from 10 species
CAUCUGUAAUCCCAGCACUUCGGGAGGCUGAGAUUACAGGCGUGAGCCACCAUGCCCGGCCAGGAUAUACAACAACUUUUAUUUAACAUUGUUUAAAACUAUAUAUGCCAACUAUGUAUUCUCAAUGUUAUAAGGACAGACAAAAUUUUAGGAAAACUUUUCUGAGAUCACAUAUACAACUACACAAAUCAGGAUUAAAAAAAACCCUAUCAUUUCAUUUAUGCAUGCCCAUUUGUUGAUUGCUCUAACAAUACUGGGAAAUUAAGUUAGUUUUCUUUUGCUAAAAUAACAAAUCACAUUUCCCUCAAACAUCAAAAACAAUUUUUUAGUAACUAAUGACUAGAAAAAUCCCCUCCUUAAAGUAGCUUAAAAACCUGAACAGCUUAAAUAGCUCACUUUAUGUCAUAAAGACAUAAAUAAGUACUAAUGAGGCUUUCACACAGCCAUCUGAAGUAU